GAUGAAGAACGCAGCGAAAUGCGAUAAGUAAUGUGAAUUGCAGAAUUCAGUGAAUCAUCGAAUCUUUGAACGCACAUUGCGCCCCUUGGUAUUCCGAGGGGCAUGCCUGUUCGAGCGUCAUUAUAACCCCUCAAGCUCAGCUUGGUGUUGGGGCCUGCUGCACUGGCAGCCCUUAAAAUCAGUGGCGGCGCCAUCUGGCUCUAAGCGUAGUAAUUCUUCUCGCUAUGGAGUCCUGGUGGAUGCUUGCCAUCAACCCCCAAUUUUUCUAUGGUUGACCUCGGAUCAGGUAGCGAUACCCGCUGAACUUAAGCAUAUCAAUAAGCGGAGGA
rnacentral:misc_RNA from 1 species